UUGAGACAUCUGAUAUCAUUCUGACUUAUGGUCCCUCUCACAUCAUUUUUGGUUUCUCUCUGAAAAUUUUUAGAAUUUUUUUUAAUGCCAGGUGUUCUGAAAAUUGUUGGUGAUUUGUCCUAGUGAAUUCCAUGAGGCCAAGGGCCGUGUUUGCUUUAUUAACUUCUAAACACCAUAUCCAACAUUUCAGAAAUGUUUGUUGAAUAAAUUAAUGAAGAAUGACAUGGAAAGGAAAGGUGGAAAUGUACUAUAAGCAUAAAGGAAUGGCAUGUGUGAAAGAUCAGGUGGGAGAAAUAAAGGUAUGUCAAAAAUAUGACCAAAGCUGGAUGCUACUGCAGUCAA
rnacentral:lncRNA from 10 species